CACAUGCAAGUCGAACGGUAACAGGAAACAGCUUGCUGUUUCGCUGACGAGUGGCGGACGGGUGAGUAAUGUCUGGGAAACUGCCUGAUGGAGGGGGAUAACUACUGGAAACGGUAGCUAAUACCGCAUAACGUCGCAAGACCAAAGAGGGGGACCUUCGGGCCUCUUGCCAUCGGAUGUGCCCAGAUGGGAUUAGCUAGUAGGUGGGGUAACGGCUCACCUAGGCGACGAUCCCUAGCUGGUCUGAGAGGAUGACCAGCCACACUGGAACUGAGACACGGUCCAGACUCCUACGGGAGGCAGCAGUGGGGAAUAUUGCACAAUGGGCGCAAGCCUGAUGCAGCCAUGCCGCGUGUAUGAAGAAGGCCUUCGGGUUGUAAAGUACUUUCAGCGGGGAGGAAGGGAGUAAAGUUAAUACCUUUGCUCAUUGACGUUACCCGCAGAAGAAGCACCGGCUAACUCCGUGCCAGCAGCCGCGGUAAUACGGAGGGUGCAAGCGUUAAUCGGAAUUACUGGGCGUAAAGCGCACGCAGGCGGUUUGUUAAGUCAGAUGUGAAAUCCCCGGGCUCAACCUGGGAACUGCAUCUGAUACUGGCAAGCUUGAGUCUCGUAGAGGGGGGUAGAAUUCCAGGUGUAGCGGUGAAAUGCGUAGAGAUCUGGAGGAAUACCGGUGGCGAAGGCGGCCCCCUGGACGAAGACUGACGCUCAGGUGCGAAAGCGUGGGGAGCAAACAGGAUUAGAUACCCUGGUAGUCCACGCCGUAAACGAUGUCGACUUGGAGGUUGUGCCCUUGAGGCGUGGCUUCCGGAGCUAACGCGUUAAGUCGACCGCCUGGGGAGUACGGCCGCAAGGUUAAAACUCAAAUGAAUUGACGGGGGCCCGCACAAGCGGUGGAGCAUGUGGUUUAAUUCGAUGCAACGCGAAGAACCUUACCUGGUCUUGACAUCCACGGAAGUUUUCAGAGAUGAGAAUGUGCCUUCGGGAACCGUGAGACAGGUGCUGCAUGGCUGUCGUCAGCUCGUGUUGUGAAAUGUUGGGUUAAGUCCCGCAACGAGCGCAACCCUUAUCCUUUGUUGCCAGCGGUCCGGCCGGGAACUCAAAGGAGACUGCCAGUGAUAAACUGGAGGAAGGUGGGGAUGACGUCAAGUCAUCAUGGCCCUUACGACCAGGGCUACACACGUGCUACAAUGGCGCAUACAAAGAGAAGCGACCUCGCGAGAGCAAGCGGACCUCAUAAAGUGCGUCGUAGUCCGGAUUGGAGUCUGCAACUCGACUCCAUGAAGUCGGAAUCGCUAGUAAUCGUGGAUCAGAAUGCCACGGUGAAUACGUUCCCGGGCCUUGUACACACCGCCCGUCACACCAUGGGAGUGGGUUGCAAAAGAAGUAGGUAGCUUAACCUUCGGGAGGGCGCUUACCACUUUGUGAUUCAUGACUGGGGUGAAGUCGUAACAAGGUAACCGUAGGGGAACCUGCGGUUGGAUCACCUCCUUACCUUAAAGAAGC
rnacentral:rRNA from 1 species